rnacentral:lncRNA from 1 species
AAAAAAAAAAAAGAAAAAAAAGAAAAAAAAAAAAGGUUGUCAGAUCAGAAUCCGAAUAGCCUUUUAUCUUAUCAACAGAUUUUAUUUGGUAGGUUCCCCACAGUUGCUGGCUUUGGUGACAUUUCAGAUUAGGUUGUCAUUUCUUCCCUUAAGCCCCAACAACAGCUUUCUAUCGUCAUGAUUGAUUAAAAAGCCCAGCAAACAAAUAAGCAAAUUGCUACACCACCACUAUCAACCACGAUAAAACUCAGAAACAAAAAUAUUUUCUUUAAGCCAAAGAGAGUUGAUUAAAUACCUCAUAAUGUACUGUGGGUCAGCUGUAUUGGGC